CUAGUAAGACUUUUUCCAUUUGAUACCGUUCCUUUAAAAUACAGUACCUGGUUCUCGCCUCUAGUGGCCUCCCUAGCCACUAGUCACCUCCAACUCUCACCUGUAGAACAUGAAAUCAAGUUCUGCUAUAAAAUGCCACACCUGACAACACAUGUAGCCUUGAUAUUGAAGUUUGAUGAUUACCUGCAACUACUUCACAUCCUGGCUCCUGAGUUUACCUGUGGAAUUUCCUUAUUGGUGACUUAUCCUGCAAUACUUACCAACCUGCUCCAAACUUACCUGUACAACUCUUCAAUCCUGUCUUAUCUACAACCCUGCACCAAACCUAUCUACCUGCUCAACAUCCAACUUACUCAAAAUCAACACUGGACUUUCAUUUACUUUGUGGAAACUGUUUACUAUUUCCUCGGAUUUACAUUUCUUCCAAUCUACUCUGCAUCCUUCACAAAGGGCCUGCAUCUACUAUAUAACCCUUACCCAAAGAGACUGAACAAGUGCAAAC